rnacentral:lncRNA from 1 species
UUCUGAAAGAAAUUUGGAUUGGAGUCGAUCGAAUCCUGUUGGGAAAAAAAUCUGGAAGAGGUCCGGAGAACGGUUGACUCUUGUAGAAGGUCGGUCGGCAGUAGAAUCCCGAGAACAUUUGGAGCAGCCUGAUAGACGACUGAAGAAGCUCAUCAUUGGAGAAGUCCGGGAGAUGUGGCAGGGAUUCGUCCGUCGGGGGAACCCAGUCGACACUUGCAGAAGAAGCUAUGGGAGUUUAUCCGUCAGCAGAAUUUGGGAAUGUUGCAGAAGCUCAACCGUCGGAGAGGUUUAGAAAUAUGUCGCCCA